ensembl:lncRNA
GCACGGUUAUAAUUAGAGCAGCAGCCUGUCCUGAGCGCUCCACCAGCCACAGGGAGCACAGCUGGAUCUGCCAACCGUAUGCACAGGACUCGGAGAGGCUGCUCUGGCCUUGAAAAUUAUCCUUCUUAAAAGGAUUUUCCUCCUUCCUCAGGGGCAAGAAAACCCACUGAUAUAAAACCCUAUUUGCCUUCCAGCUUCACCUGUGACUGCCUCUCCAGCAGAGAUAGAGCGUUGAUAAAUACGGGAGAAAGAAAAAAAAAAACCAAUUCGGUCCUCUGCAGCAGCCGAUGCACGCCCAGCCACCUCCGGCAGUCUGCCUGCUCACAGCCCAGGGACGCAGGUGCAGCACAUGCUGACUCAGCCCGUGCCACACAGCUUGCGUGGUCUUAGUCUGACCAGGGAUUGAACCUGUGCCCUUGGCAGUGAAAAAGCAGAGUCCACCAGACCACCAGGGAGUCCCCUCUUUAAUUUACUUCAGAUUGAGGAUAUCAGGUAAGACCUCUGUGGAAGUAGUAGGUAAGGUAAAAUCUAAAUGGGGAGAAGAAACCCAUAAGCAAUUAAGGCGCAGGGGGUGAAUUCUCUUGGAAGAAAGAACAGGUACAAAGUUCCUACAGAAGAAUGAGCAAAAAGUGCUGGAACCAAGUGCUCAGGGGAGAGAGGUGAGGUAAAAGAGGCAAGCAAGGGACACUCAGGGAGGACCACGUGGGCCAAGAUAAGGACAUUGGACCUUAUUCCUUGUGAUAGGAUGGGGUCCUCUGAAGAUUUUAAGCAGGGAAGUAGUGAUCUAAUGUUAAAAGUUGUUAAAAUCACUCUUUUUGCUGAUGAAUAUAGAUUAUGGGGCACAAAAUGGGAGGAGUAAGAGUGAUUAUAAUUCUAUUGCUCCAGACUGGAUGAGAGUUGAUGGUGCUUGGACCUGGGCAGUUGUGGUGGAGAUGGAAAGAAAUGGAUAGAUUUGCCAACUGCCUUUUCAGAUCUUUCUCCCAGGCCUUCCCACAUAACUGGGCACUAGUUUCUUUGUGAUUGGAGCACAAUAUCAGGCUCUUCUAGCUCUCAAACUUGAGCUUACAGUUCAAUCAGCUGGUAGGUCUGAUUCAGUAGUUCUGAUCUGGUGGGGCUCAAUACAG